GGGGUUUCCAAGUGGUUUGAGGUUUAGAAAAGCUUGAAGAGAGUGUUUUCGCCGAAAAGUUGCUCGGAUAAGCACAUCAAUACCUAAGACACCACUUGUUACACGGUGAAUUAUAUUUUGGACAGAAGGUAGAGAAAGAAAUGUGUGAAUGACAUGAGGAGAACUGAAGCAUGGUCCUGACCCUGAUUUGUACAUAUGAACAUAUCGACCUUUUUGUGGGUUAUUUCAGUUAUCAGUGAGAUGUUUGUAAUAAAGUGUGAAGUUAUGUUUUGAAAAUAAAUUGGGUUAUUUAAUACUUAUGUAUAAUAUGUUUGAGACACACUUUAUGUUAAUGUAAAUAAUGUGAAAUAAGUUUUCAAGUUUAAAAAAAAAAUAAAAAAAUGUCCAGACUUCCGCAGUAAUAAAUUAUGAUAUAGUUUUAAAACGUAACACCUCAAAUAUGGUUUUAACUAAAAUAAGUGAGGGUGU